AUUGAACGCUGGCGGCAGGCUUAACACAUGCAAGUCGAGCGAGCGGCGGACGGGUGAGUAAUGUCUGGGAAUCUGCCUGAUGGAGGGGGAUAACUACUGGAAACGGUAGCUAAUACCGCAUACCAUCGGAUGUGCCCAAUUGGGAUUAGGUAGUUGGUGGGGUAAUGGCUCACCAAGGCGACGAUCCCUAGCUGGUCUGAGAGGAUGACCAGCCAAACGGGAACUGAGACACGGUCCAGACUCCUACGGGAGGCAGCAGGGGGGAAUAUUGCACAAUGGGGGCAAGCCUGAUGCAGCCAUGCCGCGUGAGUGAAGAAGGCCUUCGGGUUGUAAAGCACUUUCAGCAGGGAGGCGUUACUCGCAGAAGAAGCACCGGCUAACUCCGUGCCAGCCGCCGCGGUAAUAC
rnacentral:rRNA from 1 species